UGCAGUCGAGCGGUAAGGCCCUUCGGGGUACACGAGCGGCGAACGGGUGAGUAACACGUGAGCAACCUGCCCCUGACUCUGGGAUAAGCGGUGGAAACGCCGUCUAAUACCGGAUACGACCCGCCACCUCAUGGUGGAGGGUGGAAAGUUUUUCGGUCAGGGAUGGGCUCGCGGCCUAUCAGCUUGUUGGUGGGGUAACGGCCUACCAAGGCGAUUACGGGUAGCCGGCCUGAGAGGGCGACCGGCCACACUGGGACUGAGACACGGCCCAGACUCCUGCGGGAGGCAGCAGUGGGGAAUAUUGCGCAAUGGGCGAAAGCCUGACGCAGCGACGCCGCGUGGGGGAUGACGGCCUUCGGGUUGUAAACCUCUUUUACCACCAACGCAGGCUUCCAGUUCUCUGGAGGUUGACGGUAGGUGGGGAAUAAGGACCGGCUAACUACGUGCCAGCAGCCGCGGUAAUACGUAGGGUCCGAGCGUUGUCCGGAAUUAUUGGGCGUAAAGAGCUCGUAGGCGGCGUGUCGCGUCUGCUGUGAAAGACCGGGGCUUAACUCCGGUUCUGCAGUGGAUACGGGCAUGCUAGAGGUAGGUAGGGGAGACUGGAAUUCCUGGUGUAGCGGUGAAAUGCGCAGAUAUCAGGAGGAACACCGGUGGCGAAGGCGGGUCUCUGGGCCUUACCUGACGCUGAGGAGCGAAAGCAUGGGGAGCGAACAGGAUUAGAUACCCUGGUAGUCCAUGCCGUAAACGUUGGGCGCUAGGUGUGGGGACUUUCCACGGUUUCCGCGCCGUAGCUAACGCAUUAAGCGCCCCGCCUGGGGAGUACGGCCGCAAGGCUAAAACUCAAAGGAAUUGACGGGGGCCCGCACAAGCGGCGGAGCAUGUUGCUUAAUUCGACGCAACGCGAAGAACCUUACCAAGGUUUGACAUCACCCGUGGACUCGCAGAGAUGUGAGGUCAUUUAGUUGGCGGGUGACAGGUGGUGCAUGGCUGUCGUCAGCUCGUGUCGUGAGAUGUUGGGUUAAGUCCCGCAACGAGCGCACCCUUGUUCAUGUUGCCGCACGUAAUGGUGGGGACUCUGGGAGACUGCCGGGGUCACUCGGAGGAAGGUGGGGAUGACGUCAGUCAUCUGCCCCUUAUGUCUGGGCUGCAACCUGCUACAUGGCCGGUACAUGG
rnacentral:rRNA from 1 species